AAACGGGUGCGUAACACGUAGGGAUCUACCGCAUAGUCGGGACACGAUUGGAAACGGUCGCUAAUACCCGAUGACCUCUGAGGAGGAAAGACGCAAGUCACUAUGCGAGGAGCCUGCGGCCUAUCAGGUAGUUGGUGAGGUCACGGCUCACCAAGCCGACGACGGGUAGGGGGUGUGAGAGCAUGAACCCCCACACGGGGACUGAGACACGGCCCCGACUCCUACGGGAGGCAGCAGUGAGGGAUAUUGGGCAAUGGGCGCAAGCCUGACCCAGCGACGCCGCGUGGAGGAGAAGGGCUUCGGCUCGUAAACUCCCUUUCCCAGGGACGAGAACAGGACGGUACCUGGGGAAUAAGUCUCGGCUAACUACGUGCCAGCAGCCGCGGUAAUACGUAGGAGGCAAGCGUUAUCCGGAAUUUACUGGGCGUAAAGGGCGUCUAGGUGGCAGCCAAGCGGGGUGUGAAAAGCUCCUGGCUUAACUGGGAAAGUGCGCUCCGAACUGGGCAGUUAAAGGGCCAGGCGAACGGCAGGGUUGGGAAUUACCCCGGGUUGGGAAAGUGGGUGGAAAAUGCGUUAAAAGAAUCCGGGGUGGGAAACCCA
rnacentral:rRNA from 1 species